GAUGAACGCUAGCUACAGGCUUAACACAUGCAAGUCGAGGGACCGGCGCACGGGUGAGUAACACGUAUCCAACCUGCCCUUUACUCGGGGAUAGCCUUUCGAAAGAAAGAUUAAUACCCGAUCUAAAGGAUGGGGAUGCGUUCCAUUAGGUUGUUGGUGAGGGAACGGCUAAACAAGCCUUCGAUGGAUAGGGGUUCUGAGAGGAAUGUCCACCGGACGUGAACUGGGACCCAGUCCAAACUCCGAGGGUAGGCAGGAGAGAGGAAUACUGUUCAAUGGGCGCUAGCCUGAACCAGCCGAGUAUGUGGAAGGAUGAAGGGGUAUUGGUCGUAAUCUUCUUUUAUAUAAGAAUAGGUAUUAUAUGAAUAAGGAUCGGCUAACUCCGUGCCAGCCGCCGCGGUAAUUC
rnacentral:rRNA from 1 species